ACUGGCGGCGUGCCUAAUGCAUGCAAGUCGCAAGUCGAGCGAAUGGAUUAAGAGCUUGCUCUUAUGAAGUUAGCGGCGGACGGGUGAGUAACACGUGGGUAACCUGCCCAUAAGACUGGGAUAACUCCGGGAAACCGGGGCUAAUACCGGAUAAUAUUUUGAACUGCAUGGUUCGAAAUUGAAAGGCGGCUUCGGCUGUCACUUAUGGAUGGACCCGCGUCGCAUUAGCUAGUUGGUGAGGUAACGGCUCACCAAGGCAACGAUGCGUAGCCGACCUGAGAGGGUGAUCGGCCACACUGGGACUGAGACACGGCCCAGACUCCUACGGGAGGCAGCAGUAGGGAAUCUUCCGCAAUGGACGAAAGUCUGACGGAGCAACGCCGCGUGAGUGAUGAAGGCUUUCGGGUCGUAAAACUCUGUUGUUAGGGAAGAACAAGUGCUAGUUGAAUAAGCUGGCACCUUGACGGUACCUAACCAGAAAGCCACGGCUAACUACGUGCCAGCAGCCGCGGUAAUACGUAGGUGGCAAGCGUUAUCCGGAAUUAUUGGGCGUAAAGCGCGCGCAGGUGGUUUCUUAAGUCUGAUGUGAAAGCCCACGGCUCAACCGUGGAGGGUCAUUGGAAACUGGGAGACUUGAGUGCAGAAGAGGAAAGUGGAAUUCCAUGUGUAGCGGUGAAAUG
rnacentral:rRNA from 1 species